UACUUUCUGUUUGGUGAAAAAUGCCUUUUCCCUCUUCCCAGUCUCACUGGGUGUGGGUAUCAGCGGCAGCUACGCCUAUGAACACAACAGCUUAACAGCACAGGGAUGUGCAGCAGGUUGUAGGCAAACACUGCCAAGCAACCAGCAAAUCAAUAGUAGGUGGUUUUCAUACGGCCUAGAAAAUACCAUUAUUUGAACUUUGGAAGACUUCCUAUUGCCAGGACAUACGAUUAUGUUUUCAAUGUGAUGUAACCGUGCUACCUUCUAUCUGGGGCUCUGCAGAAUUAGGUCAGCUCUGAUUUCUCUGGGGAAAGAAACCACCACACGCCAGAAAAACAAACCACCAAAACCUGUUUCAAACCCCUCUGAACCCUUCAGAAUACUGGGUGUGUGCUGUAGUCCUCCAUGGUAAGAGACAACAUGAUUAAUGUUACUUCAGCAAAGUUUGUGUAGUGUCUCCUAGGAACAGUAGUUUCUGCAUCACUGCCUUAUGCCUAAGUUUGGCAAGGUUAAGAGAAACACCCUGAAUUUGUUCAAAGAAGCCUUUCAGGUGGUACAAUGGAAUAAAUGAAUAGAAAAAAUACAGGAAUUUCAUUUUAUACUUGCAUUAAAAAGAGCUAAUUCCAUACUGA